AUACAGAGGGUGCGAGCGUUAAUCGGAAUUACUGGGCGUAAAGCGCGCGUAGGCGGUCUAUUAAGUCAGAUGUGAAACCCCAGGGCUCAACCUUGGAACUGCAUCUGAUACUGGUAGACUAGAGUUUUGGAGAGGGAAGUAGAAUUUCAGGUGUAGCGGUGAAAUGCAUAGAGAUCUGAAGGAAUACCAGUGGCGAAGGCGACUUCCUGGCCAAAAACUGACGCUGAGGUGCGAAAGCGUGGGUAGCAAACGGGAUUAGAUACCCUAGUAGUCC
rnacentral:rRNA from 1 species